rnacentral:rRNA from 1 species
UACAGAGACUGCAAGCGUUAUUCGGAUUCACUGGGCGUAAAGGGUGCGCAGGCGGUCGGGUGUGUCAGAUGUGAAAUCCCGAGGCUCAACCCCGGAACUGCGUCUGAAACUACUCGACUAGAGUACUGGAGAGGGUAACGGAAUUCACGGUGUAGCAGUGAAAUGCGUAGAUAUCGUGAGGAACACCAGAGGCGAAGGCGGUUACCUGGACAGUUACUGACGCUCAGGCACGAAAGCAUGGGGAGCAAAAGGG